rnacentral:lncRNA from 12 species
GUGCACCUGGGGUGAGUGUGGUGCAGGGUCCAGAGGGGAUUGUGGUGCAGGGUCCGGAGGUGAGCGCGGUGCAGGGUCCCGGGGGUGAGUGCGGGGCCGGUGCACCUGGGGUGAGCGCGGUGCAAGGUCCCUGGGGGUGAGCGUGGUGCAGGGUCCCGGGGUGGGCGCAGGGCUGGUGCACCCGGGGCUCCCUGCGGCCGGGUCUGGGCUGGGGCCGUGCGCUGUCCCCCACCUUACCCUCCCUGCUGCCCCCUCCCGUGUCCACCGGGCCUGGUGCUGGGGGCAGGUGCGGGCCCCUUGCUGCAGCUGGAGACCUGUGAGGCCGCCCGAUUCCCUGGGCUUCGCCGCUGCUCCCCCCCCCCCCCGCACCCCCGGUGCUCCCAGGCUCCCCUGAUCCCCGUGGCCCUGGGCACUGGUCCCGGUCCCGCCGUCUAGACGGCGGCGGCCCCUUAUCUGUGCCCGGCAUCACCUGCGGGCGACCCCCCAGCCCGGCCGCGGCCGCCGGAACGUCCACCCGGAACCAGCCUGGCGUGUCCUCGGUUUAUUUUCUUUCCAGGCCCGAAGCGCGGGGCGGGGGCGCCGGGUCACCCGGUGUGACAUUUCAAACCGCUGCCACUCGCCGUCUCGAAACCCGGCUUUGGUGGCGGCAGGAAAUGAGCAGGAGACUCUGCCCGGCGGGCAGCGCGGGCUCAGCACACGCUUGACCCUGUGGCCGCCGCCGUCAGACAGGAGCCGCCGCCGUCGGACCGGCACCUGGAGGACCGGCCGCCAACCGUUGAGGCGGGAGGGAACGGUGCUGCGAAGCCGGGGAUGAGGGAAGAGCCCCGCAGACUUACUGAGGACCAGCUUGGCCCCUCGAGCGCUUGCAAACGGUUCUCAUAACCCGGGUCAGGCUCCUUGCGGCGUCGCCCCCUCCCCUGGGACCCGUUCCCCCCCCCCCCCCCCAAGGGAGGCCUGGGCGUUUGCUCCCAGCUCCGGGCGGCCGCGGGCGAGGCUCCGCUUCUAGGAAACCUUCCUUUCGAUAACUUUCUCGAUCAACUCCUGGGCUUUGUCAUGUUAACGAAACAGGUUCUCGAGAAAAGAAUUUCGCUCCUGUUUGUCGUCAAUGAGCUUUGAGCGUCUGCUUUCGGCUGAGCCGAGCGCGGGAUUUGCUCCGCGUGGAGGCAUCUGCGUGUCCGGUUGCAGGCGGCUCUUGUUCUGGGGUCAAAUGUCUAAUUUCUCUUUUGACGUUUGUGUGACGGUGCGGACUUUUUU